rnacentral:rRNA from 1 species
UAGGUCAGGUAGAGCGAACGCAGUGAAUUGAAACAUCUCAGUAGCUGACAGGAAAAGACAUCAACCGAGAUUCCCAAGUAGUGGCGAGCGAAAUGGGAAGAGCCUUCACGAUUUAGCUGUUGACAUAACCAAACGGUCUGGAAAGUCCGACGAUACUGGGUGAUAGUCCCGUAGGUGAAAUGUUGGCGGUGGAACUAGGCGUGAGAGAAGUAGGGCGGGACACGUGAAAUCCUGUCUGAAGAUGGGGGGACCAUCCUCCAAGGCUAAAUACUCGUUGCCGACCGAUAGCGAACUAGUACUGUGAAGGAAAGGUGAAAAGAACCCCGGGAGGGGAGUGAAAUAGAUCCUGAAACCGUGUGCGUACAAACAGUCGGAGCUCGAAAGAGUGACGGCGUACCUUUUGUAUAAUGGGUCAGCGACUUACGUUCAGUUGCGAGCUUAACCGAAUAGGGUAGGCGUAGGGAAACCGAGUCUGAUAAGGGCGUUUAGUAGCUGGGCGUAGACCCCGAAACCGGAUGAUCUAGUCAUGGCCAGGAU